GGGCCCAUGGUCUAGCGGUUAUGACGGCGCUCUCACACAGCGCAGAUCACCGGUUCAAAUCCGGUUGGGCCCACCA
rnacentral:tRNA from 1 species